rnacentral:rRNA from 1 species
UACAGAGGUCUCAAGCGUUGUUCGGAUUCAUUGGGCGUAAAGGGCGCGUAGGCGGCGGGGUAAGUCGGGUGUGAAAUCUCAGAGCUCAACUCCGAAACUGCAUUCGAUACUGCGGUGCUUGAGGACUGGAGAGGAGACUGGAAUUCAUGGUGUAGCAGUGAAAUGCGUAGAGAUCAUGAGGAAGACCAGUGGCGAAGGCGGGUCUCUGGACAGUUCCUGACACUGAGGCACGAAGGCCAGGGGGGCAAACGGG